UCCAAUUUAUUUCCACAUAUGAAUGAGGUCUGAAAUUGAUCUGAGAAUAUCGGAAUCCAUGAGCUUUUUUCCUGCUUACACGUUCGUGGGUCAUAUCCGAUCUGAGCCACAUGGGGGAAAAUAUCGUAAUUAGGUUUAUGUAAUAUAAAUGCGGCCUUAGUGUGCUGCUGGGUUUAAAUGAAGCGGUAAUUGAAAAUCAAUGACAAAAGUGUUGAAAAUGAACACAAAAAUGCUGAAAGACGGUUUCAGAUGGCAGUACCAUGGUACUCUGAUAUAUAUCAUGGUACUACUACUGAAUGAAUAAUAUUAUCAUGUACUAAGGUAUUUGCCUGAAGUUCCAAGGUACCUCAAAGAAUGCCAUGAAAUUACUUUGGUAUUUGUUCAAAAAACAUAUUACCAUGGUUCCAUAGCCAAGAGACCAUACCAGUAAUACCAUGGUACUUUCAUGGUACUUUGGCGCUGAAAUAACCAGGUCUGGCGCCGUGUGAUGAGGCACACCUUAAGAUAAUGAAGCCUCGUCACCGCCGCUGUUAAAUGCUGAGCGCGCCUCUCCUCGGGAGACCGGUCUUUUUCCCCUGUGCAUGCUCGCUGGUAUCCUCGUGGGUCCAGGAAGGGAGGGCGGAGGGACUCCCGCACCGCCAUAGAUGUGAGUCGCAGGACCCGCGGUCCGGAAUGGAGAAGCAUGCGUAACGCUGCCGACAGGUUAGGACGCCGGGCCGCUAUUCCCCUCAGUUGUCAUGGCCUAAAGAGGACGAGCCGCUGUGCCGAAGCCGUCACCCCUCGCGCCUUGGACCGAAGAGAGUGAGAAGCGCGUGCGGCCGUUUACACAUUGAAGGAGUUGUUGUGAUCAUUGAGUUUAUUAGUAAAGUCUUUUCAUGUUUCUUCAUCUUGUGAGUUUCUACUACGUUUGUUACAGAUGAACCGACCCUCAAAAAUGAGUACAAAGAGAAACGGAUAUGAACUUACUGGCGCUGCAGUCUUCUGGGGUACACGGGCUGGAUAGUGAAAUAUGGCAGCCUCUCCCUCACCAUCUGUGAGCCCGAGGCCACUACCACUGUUGUCCGAGUCCCAGAGCCAGAGACCAUUCCAUCUCCGGAGACGAAGCACACUGAUAAGUCCACCCCAGAGCCAGGAGUGGACCGGGACCUGAUAGAUCUGUGGUCCGCGGAUCCAGUUCCCACCCUCAAGUCCUCGUCGUCUUCGCGGGUCCUGUAUGGAAAUGACUUUCUUCUGUCUGUAUCCCUUCCUGACUUCCUGAUCCCGUCUCCAUUGCUGAUCACGGCCAGUCCUCUGGAUCUGUCUGCACCACUGGUGUUGUUCAGCUCCUUGGCUCUGCCCCCGCCGCUCACUCCGUGCGGCUCAUCUUCCCCGCCUCUGGCCUCCAGGCCCAUGUCUCAACCUCGGCCUGUCAGCCCGUUGCUAUCGCCUUGGCUCACUGCUCCCUCGUUGCCUCCGUGGCCCAUCUGCCCUGAGACUCCGCUGGGCUCCCUCAGCACUUCAGGUCACUCCUUCCUUUCUCCGACCUCCCCGUCAUCCUUGCUCGCCCUAUCGUCGCCCCGGUCAUCCGAGUCCCCGUCGCUGCCUCAGUACCACAAGCCAGCAGCUCAGCCCUAGUCUUCCAGCCCUUUGAUGUCGCCCAGGUCCGUAAGUCGCUCUGCUACGCCGGUUCCUCAUCUCACCAUGGUUCCGCCUCCACCGAUUGGUCCCAGGGUUCCAUCCGCCCCUUCAAUCAAGACUCCACCCUAGAUCCUCUCACCGUCAGUGCCACAAUGGUGCCUGUGCCUACCUACCCCAUGCUCCAUCACCAGCUCCACGCCCUCCACCGAAGCCUCCGCCAUCUUUCCUCGUCCUGAACUUUUUCUAUCAUGGUGCGAGGUCACGCCUUCUGGAGGGGGGGCUUAUGUCAUGGUUAUGUUCAGUUUAGUUCAGAUUCUGUCAUGUCUGUAUUAGUUCUCAUUUGUUUCUAUGGCUACUCAUUUGUUAAUCACGUUCAGGUGUGCAUGAUUCAGUUCCUCAUUUACUCUAUGUAUAAAUAUCCUGUUAGGUUUAUUCUAAUUUCGGUUCACAUUACGUUUACACGUUGAAGGAGUAGUUGUGAUCGAGUUGAUUAGUAAAUUCUUUUCAUGUUUCUUCAUUUUGUGAGUUUCUACUACAAAGCCUUUACGUUUGUGACAGUAGCAUAGAUGAGGCCAGACAAACUCAAACUAAAAGAGGGAGAGCUAAAAACAAGAGAUAAUGAGGUGCACAGCUGAAUGGAAUGAUUAACUUAACUAGGUCACUAUGGUAGCAAACUCAGGCAGAGAAAAGGUGCAAGCAGAAAACCAACUGAACAUAACUGUGACAACUGGGAUGCAAGGCUGUUAUCGUUAAUUAAAAAAAAACUUCUAAAAUUAAAAAAAAGAAAGAACAAAGAACAAACCUAAACUAAAUAUGCACUAAAAUGCUAACAAAAAUUAAUAAGGCCAAGAUAUCUUGUUUAUGUGACGUUUAUUAUGUGAAGAUAAAAGAGGCUUCUUGUUGGUAGUUUUCUUUCAUUCUUCUACGGAUGAUGUCAAGAACAUGAAGAGAGUUUAUGGAACCUUUCCAGGAAAUAAAUUGGAAGAGAAAAUCAUUCACAUACUACCAGAGUGACAGUCGGCUGUCGAGACACAAAGCAUCGGUGCGUGAGAGAGUCUGCAGUGAUGCUGCAGAACUGCGGAUCCGUCCCAGCCUGCAUGACUCAGAGCCGCGUGUCUCGCUGACGUGAGGGGGAAUCGAAACAGCAUGGAGAUCUGAUGGAGGCUGUUUCUCUUCAGACGGGAUGAAAAUCUGCUGCACACCAACCAGAUUUCACUCACACACACACACCGAAUAUGCAUAGCAUGUUAAAGGAAUAGUUUCUCCAAAAAUGACAAUAGAGUGGUGCAAGCAUAUUUUUAUAUGCCAAAACACAGAAAUUAGUUCGCUUUUUAGCACUAUCAGUUCCAUCAUCAUCAAUGUUUUUUUGAAUGGGUUUUUGGUUAAAUGCCUGAAAUAAGGUCUGUCAUGAACACUAGCACAAGAUACGUUCACGUUUUAUUCAACGACAUAAAAUACAUCAGUAAUACCUUAUGAUUUUUUAAAAGCUUUUACAUUUCUUAAAAAAGCGGUUGCUAACAAGUGUCUAAAUUGGUCUACUAUGGAAGCUUGUUUCCGCACAUGGUAUAAAAAAAUAAAGGAUAAUUGCAACUUUUUAUACUGCCAAUUCUGACUUUAUAAAUCGCAUUUGCGUGGUAUAAAGUUGGAAUUGCGAGAUAAAGAGUCACAAUUACCUUUUUUUAUUUUUUUUUCAGUUUUUAUUCAGCUUCCAUACUCUAUUAACUAUUCACUUUCACAACCUCAUUGUGUUUAUAAUCAUGCUCUUGCUAACUUUAAGGGAUUUAUUUUUUUGUAUUUUAAAUAAAGAGUUGUCGGAUAUCAUAGCCUACGUUUAGCUUUUUGCUUCUUGUAUUUAGGCUUCAAAAUUCAUAAAAGUUGUGUUAAUUUUUCAUGAUGAACAAAAUGUGUAAGAAUCAUUAACGUUUGUUGGUCACAGAGCUUAUUUUCCGCUAUAAUCCAAAAGCCAAUGGAAAAAUCCUAUUGGAUUUUUGUCGAGGGAACCUGGAGUGACGCUACAAAAACACGUCAUCACUGCAGCACUCUAUGUCUGUUUUUCACACAAAUCUAUUUCAUGGCUUCAGAAGAGUUGGAAAAUAUGCACUAUUUUUAAAAUACUUCUAUGUUGCUUUUUUUUGUCCUUUUUGGAGUUUGACCGUGAACAUAUGAGGGUCAGGGUUUGACUCUUACCUCACUGCACUGCAGAACAAACCAGUCCCCUUGAGAAGUGAAACCCAACACAUCCGGGCCUGACGAGAGACACGGGCACGUCCCAGCUGCUCUGAUAAGGCUUCACCAAUCCCGUCAUGAAUAGCAGAUUCAUCAGUUUUACGAGACGCUUCACGCCCAGUGGGUUUCAGAGAUUUAAACUGCACUACAUAAACCCGAGGACAAAGAUUUACAGGAAAGUGAGAUGAGUCACGAUUACGGUGAAUGAGGGGACUGUAAUAGGUGCAGGCAUUGCUGUCUGCUUUGAUUUGUAACGUUGUGAUCACAGAGGAAUUUUCGAGGUGAAAACCUCUCUCGCACGUAUACGCACAUGCACGCUCUCUCACAGGAAAUUAGAGUUAGAACGCUGACUCACAUAAAUGAUCACUAGAAACAUCUUCGGUUAAAGGCUUGCACCAUGUUUUCUUAGAAGCAUGCAUACAUGCAACAUUUUUGCCUUUGUUUUGAUAGUACAGCUGGAGAGAGGACAGGAAGUGAAGUGGGAGAGAGAGGGGGUCAGAUCGGGAAAGACCACGAGCCAGGACUCGAACUCAGGUCACCUGAACUGCACUACAUGUCGGAGUGCAAACCAUGACUCUAUAUGACUCUAUUUACAGGAACAGUUCAGCCAAAAAGGAAAGUCCUGUCACCAUUUAUUUACCCUCAUGCCAUUCCAAAACUGUAUGACUUUCAUCUGUGGAAUGCAGGAGAUGUUUAGCUAAUGUUGAUGCCUUUUUUUCCCACAUAAUGAUUGGGGAUGAACUCCAAAAACGAAAAAACAAACAAACAAAAAAAACAUGUAAAAGUAGUCCAACUUAUAUGCAUGAAUAAAAUGAUAUGCAUAUGGGAGUUUCCACCUCAGGGUAUUUCAAUAGUCUGCUUUAGACAUUCUACUAACUACAAGUAACUUUGCAACUACAUGUCAGCUACCUACCAGUCAUUAGAGUAGGCUAUUAGUAGACUGUCUGCUUAAUUGCUAACACUUUAUUUUGAUGCUCCCCAACAGACAUUCUGCUGACUAUGGGCCAUAUCAUACACCAGGCACAAUGCGAUACCAAGUGUGAAUUCAGAAGACUUAAAUACAGCACAUAAGUAAUGUGCACUAUUGUAUGAUGCAUUUAUUGAACUUAUGUGUCAUUUUGAAGCUUGAUAUUCUCCUUUGGGGUUACUGUAAGGUUUUGUUAUAUGGAAAAGAGCUGUCUGAACUGGCAAAAUAUCUAAUUUUGUGUUCCAUGGAAGAAAAGUCAUAUAGGUUUGAAUGCUAUGAUCUUAAUUUUGUCAUCAUUUACUCACCAAUGAUGACACAAUAUUAAAUUAUUUGAGAUGAACAAACAUGACUAUAUUAUUUUGUUUUCAGAAUGUCUCAGUUUCUGAAUGUCUUGUCUUUUCUCUCGUUUUCUCUCAGAAUCCGGGAGACGGGCUCAAGCCGUGUGACCUUUUCUGUGGAAGUCACAGCUGAUAGUCAUGUCACUGUGAUCAAUACCUCUGUAAUGCAUUUCCCACACUGCUCUUCUAUCUCUCUCUCCGAAGGCUCUUUGUCCCGGUGUCCAUCUGCAGAGAUUUCCUCCUCGCUCCGACACGACACUAAUAAUGAAGCAUUUCAUCUGCAGUCGCCUUAAAUAUUGCAGUAACUCCAUGUGUCCAUGUGACAGGACGGCUGUCAGUUAAGACUGAUGUGUGAAAACACCUACUCCCUGGAAAUGGAGAAGAAAUGGUGCCGUUUCAAUGAAUCCUUCAGGUGGAUCCAGAGGGAAAAGGCACGUGGCGUUCCCAGCAAACCCCCAAGCAUUUCGGCUCUCAACUUCCAUUAUCCGUCCUCGUCCCCUGGGUCAGCUGCAUCUGCAGGACUCAUCUGAACCGACGCGCAGAUAGAAAAAAAUGUAUCUGACUUCCAGCAGCACAUGUAGGUCAGGUGACCUUCAGGAAGAUGGAAACGUAUUGCUUCAUUGCCUCCUGAGGUCUCACACUGAACCCUGGUCCUGCUACGUUUCCCACCCAAACGCGAGGCUCUGAAUGGAUGAACGGCGCCGUUUGUGAAGGUUAUAGACAAAAUGCUCCUUGAAUAAUUAUGUCACAGCGGACCUGCUCCAGAUCUUUCCAGCAACAAUCCUCUAUUGCAUGACAAAAAACAACUGAUGUCCAGACAAUUUCAGGCAAUUUUCGAAUCAGGUCAGUGUGAUUUUUUUUCUGUGAAGAGAUAUUAGGAGGGCUGAAAAGUUUUCCAAGGUGACAUUACAGGGAUAAUUUACUGUAGCAGCUAGAGUUGUACAAUGUCUGCACCAAAGAGGCAUUAAAAGUGGUGUGUUUUGGGAUGUACAAUGUACCAAUGAACAAGGAUCUUUUCAACGCUGGAUUUUCACAAAGGUUGAUUUUGAAACAUAUAAGGCUGAACACCACUACUGACAGUUUCUGGCUUUUACAGUGCGUGAGAUUGUCCUGUUUUGUUGUUGCCGCCAGUAUGCCGGAGCAUGAGCUCUUGAAGCUCCACCCUCUUCUUGAAAGUGGGCUGGGAGCUGCAGCUCAUUUGUAUUUAAAGGGACACACACAAACGGCACGUUUUUGCUCACACCCAAAAAGGCAAUUUUAACAUGCUUUAAGAAAAUUAUCUGUGGGGUUUUUUGAGCUAAAACAUCACAUACACACUCUGGGGACAUUAGAGACUUAUUUUACAUCUUGUAAAAAGGGGCAUAUUAGGUCCUUUUUAAGACAUUUUUACGUUUCGAGUUACAAAAUUAAUUUAUGUUAAAAAUAAUUCUAAAAUAAAAUAUAAAUGAAAACAAUGUAAAAUAAUAAAAUGACAACAUUAAAUAUAAAAACAGUUUGCAAAUCUUAGUUUAUGUUCAUGCCUUAUAAAUGAACAAAAAUGUAUCUACCGCAAGCAAUCAUGUAAUUUUUAUGCGCAUCUUGUUUUCUAUGCACCAUUUUUAUGUGAAAUCCCAACAUUUGCAUAAAAAUAUGAGGAUAGAAAGCCAGCUACUGAUAAUCUUCACCUCCACCAAAGCUUUGAAGUCUCAUUCAUGUUCAGAUUCUCGUUCAGUUUCUCACUUGUGCUGUAAACA